GAAAUUCCAAUUUGACCUCUUUGAUCGGAACCUUUCUUUGAGCUUGCCAGGCAGUUCGAUAAGUUCACCAUUAAUCAAAGUUCAUCAUUUCUUUAUUUGAAUUGGUCGGAGUGACUUAAUCAUUUCCCUGCUCUAGCUUUGCGUUUUUCCUAAUUUUCGCGGCAUGUAUCUAUUUUCAUUCUUUGGUUGUUCACAGUAUCUGGGCAAGAUCAGUUUUCAACCUGAAUUUCUCUCGUCUACCUCUAGCGAUUUGGUAAAUUUUGACAAGUUAUUUUUGUCAUAUCUCAUAAUUAAAGCAGAAAUUAAAGAAAGGUGAGAAGCAGAUAACUUGCUGAAUGCUAAGGUAUACGGUUUCCACUAAUUAAUCUAAGCGCAUAAUUUAGCUAAAGCUAAUGCCUUCCUCUAAAUUGUUUCAGGAGAUGCAUUACCACUUUGCUACUGAUAAAGC
rnacentral:lncRNA from 1 species